UACGGGGGGGGCAAGCGUUGUUCGGAAUUACUGGGCGUAAAGGGCUCGUAGGCGGCCCUCUCAGUCGGAUGUGAAAUCCCCAGGCUUAACCUGGGAAUGGCAUCCGAUACUGGAGGGCUUGAAUUCGGGAGAGGGAUGCAGAAUUCCAGGUGUAGCGGUGAAAUGCGUAGAUAUCUGGAGGAAUACCGGUGGCGAAGGCGGCAUCCUGGACCGAGAUUGACGCUGAGGAGCGAAAGCUGGGGGAGCAAACGGG
rnacentral:rRNA from 1 species